AAAACCUCCACAAUGAAAAGGCCUAACCCCCUAAUUUAAGAACAACAACUCUAACAAUCAAUACAUUGACAUAACUUGACCCAAAUUUUUGAUCAAUGAACCAAGUUACUCUGGGGAUAACAGCGCAAUCCAUUUCAAGAGCCCCUAUCGACAAAUGGGUUUACGACCUCGAUGUUGGAUCAGGGUAUCCCAGUGGUGUAGCCGCUACUAAAGGCUCG
rnacentral:rRNA from 1 species